rnacentral:lncRNA from 1 species
CACGGCAAAGCAGCCACCAGGAAUGUCUUCUGGAAGCAAGAGGACGCUGGGUUAGGGAGGAACCUGUUACCUGCAGGGAGAAGCACCAGAAUCGCUCUGAGUUAGGCCCUUCCUGCUUCCUAGGCUCCGGUGUCUUUUUCCACCUCCAGCCCUCCACCCUUGACGUUGGAUAACCGCCUCUAGCCGCCAGGUGCGGGUGGAAGGCUCCCCAGAGCCUCUUCAAGACGUGAAAGUGACUCUCCCGCCGCCAGGUCACGUGGGCCCCGGCCUGGGGAGGGGAGCCUGGCAGGGCCCCCCCCCCCCCGCCGCCGCCGCUGCCCGGCCCCCCGGCCCCCCCCCCGUUCCCGCCCUCCCCCCGCCCUGGCUCCGCCCCGCCCCCCACCCCGUCCCCCGCAGCGCGCCCCCCCACCCGGGUCCCCCACCCCCGGCUGCGCCCUCCCCGGGUGAGGGCGGCCGGCGUACCGCGGGGCUGAGCCCGAGCCGGCUCCGGCUGUCUGCGCGCCGCGCUCCAAGGCAGCGGGGUGAAUGGACGGCAUCCAGCCCGGCCGGCAACUUGAAAAUAAAAAUAAAACAGAG